rnacentral:rRNA from 1 species
GGAUUAGAUACCCUGGUAGUCCACCCCGUAAACGUUGGGAACUAGUUGUGGGGUCCAUUCCACGGAUUCCGUGACGCAGCUAACGCAUUAAGUUCCCCGCCUGGGGAGUACGGCCGCAAGGCUAAAACUCAAAGGAAUUGACGGGGACCCGCACAAGCGGCGGAGCACGCGGAUUAAUUCGAUGCAACGCGAAGAACCUUACCAAGGCUUGACAUAUACGAGAACGGACCAGAAAUGGUCAACUCUUUGGACACUCGUAAACAGGUGGUGCAUGGUUGUCGUCAGCUCGUGUCGUGAGAUGUUGGGUUAAGUCCCGCAACGAGCGCAACCCUCGUUCUAUGUUGCCAGCACGUAAUGGUGGGAACUCAUGGGAUACUGCCGGGGUCAACUCGGAGGAAGGUGGGGAUGACGUCAAAUCAUCAUGCCCCUUAUAUCUUGGGCUUAACGCAUGCUACAAUGGCCGGUACAAAGGGCUGCAAUACCGCGAGGUGGAGCGAAUCCCAAAAAGCCGGUCCCAGUUCGGAUUGAGGUCUGCAACUCGACCUCAUGAAGUCGGAGUCGCUAGUAAUCGCAGAUCAGCAACGCUGCGGUGAAUACGUUCCCGGGUCUUGUACACACCGCCCGUCAAGUCAUGAAAGUCGGUAACACCUGAAGCCGGUGGCCUAACCCUUGUGGAGGGAGCCGUCGAAGGUGGGAUCGGUAAUUAGGACUAAGUCGUAACAAGGUAGC